UACAGGGGGUGCAAACGUUGCUCGGAAUUAUUGGGCGUAAAGCGCACGUAGGCGGUUUGUUAAGUCGGAUGUGAAAUCCCUCGGCUCAACUGAGGAAGUGCAUCCGAAACUGGCAAGCUUGAGUACGAAAGAGGGUCGCGGAAUUCCCGGUGUAGAGGUGAAAUUCGUAGAUAUCGGGAGGAACACCGGUGGCGAAGGCGGCGACCUGGGUCGAUACUGACGCUGAGGUGCGAAAGCGUGGGGAGCAAACAGG
rnacentral:rRNA from 1 species